UUAUACUUUGUGGAAAACAAUUAAUAAAAUGGAAGCUUUGCUACAAUCGUGGGAUUUAUACUCGAUUUUUUGUGUAAACCAUAUAACUGACUUUGAAAUCCUUGGUGAAUUCCUUACUAAAACUCGAGAAGAGACCCAAAAAGAAAUAAUCCCUAGUGUUUGUUUACGACUUCGUUUAAAUAAAAAAUAUAAUGAAUAUAUUUCCCAUCACGAGAAGAUUAAUGUAAAACUUUUCUAAAAAUAAUAAGAGGAAUUUUUUAAAUAUUAAUAAUCCAGUGUGUAAAUACUAAUAAAUGAUUUAUUAAAU